CUAGCAUGUGCAAGGUUGGGAUCCAAUCCCAGCAUCACAGAAACAAAACAAAACAAGAUAAAUGCUUCUUCGUACCUGGGUGAGAACCCGGUGUCCAACACUGGGGCAGUACAAGUUUAAAUCAUGGCCCACUGGCCUGGAGGAGUGCCACGCAGCAGGUAAAAGGGCCAGUACAUGUGUAUGUCCAGAAAUAGAACAAACCCUAACAGAUAUUGCUAAGUGGUUCACAGGCCAACAUGCACGUUACGAUUCUUUCACGUCAAGACCGUGUGUGUGCAUGUGUAACACAAAGGAGAACCUCUGGCACCGUGGAAACUGGUGUGCUGAUGGUGGAUUUGGGAAAUCGAAGAAGUAUUAGUUACAUUUCUUUAAGACAAUAAGUGUAUUCAUAUAUUCACGAAUGUGUGAAUGCUUGUUUUUUAAACAAGCAUUUUUAAAAUGAAAGGCUUAAAAUUGCGUUCCCUCAGAAGAGAACAUCUGCAUGGCUUAGGAACCUUCUGGAACCUUGUCAUGGGCUCAUCUGCUGUAGGCCCACAGGGCCAUGAUGUCCCCAGAAGCAGCCAGUCUCAGCGCUGUGUCCCUCCAGUCUCCCAGACUCUGGGCACAGUGAUUCCAGGUGGACAGUCUUGGCCAGAAGGUGGACACUGAGGCUCACAGGACAGGAGCCUUGGCUGGCCAGGGUAGAGCUGGAGCCCCCAGAACUUUGGGGGCAGAGUAGCCGAGUGCUGGAGUACGUUGGGGGGCCUGUGGGGAGGCACGCUGGUGAGGGUGGCUGGUGUGUCCCUGGGCUGCUUGCUUAGGAUUUCCAGAGGCCCAUGGGCCUGGGGGCUUUCACGAGGUUGGAACAGGCUGCGAUUUACAGGCAGGGCUUAAGGACACAGGGGCACUGAGAGUGUCCCCAUGCGUCCCCAUGGGCCUGGGGGCUUUCAGGGGGUUGGAACAGGCUGCAAUUUUCAGGAAGGGCUUAAGGACCCAGGGGCAUUGCCCCUUGAGGGCUCCAGGCAGCCUGCUGGUUAUUUUCCAGGAAUGACUGGCUUUUCUGCCAAUUAGACGUUGUGUCAACUGAAACGAGCCAGGGCUGGAGCCCUCAGUGGCCUUAGGUAACAAUGGGAUCCAAACCCAUUCGAUUCAUGACCUUGAAGCCCAUUCUUUCUGUUUCUCCUGGAGAUGAGGAGCCCACGCAUGCAGAAUCUCUGGUUGCAGUUAUGCCCCAGACACAUACUUACAUAACCAAAAGAUCACAAGUGGGAAGAGAGGGGAGCCUGAUGGCAGAACCAACAAACUCCCACCAGUGGGCAGCCAGGAGGCUGGAGCCCUUGGUGAAGGAAAGGUCUGGACACCAGCAUUUUGAAAUAAAAGAAAGAAGCAAAUUCAGUAAAAUGUUAAAUUUGCUACCUUGGACAAACA